CAGCCCCCGCCAAUCGCCCUCGCAAGCCAGUGCCUCUGGAAGACUGGCUAAUGAUGUUUGGCGCUAUUGCAUGAAAGGUCAAACUGACUGACAUUAUCAAGGCAAGACAGACCAGACAUCAUGACAACCGCUUUACUGGAAAGUGGAACGUCUUUAUAUAACUUUUAUAGCCACCUUUCUUUUCUGAAAAAAAGUUUUUCUUUAAGUGCAGCUACGAUUUCCCAUCACCCUCAAGCUGUUUCGUUCUAGCCAUAAACUUAUGUCUUGAUUUGUCAGUGAACUCAACUGGCAACCAAUCAGAAUGGGAGAGGGGUGAGAUCAUCAUCCUGCCUUGUGGCUCAUAGAGUAAGGCAAUGAGAAAGUAGUUGCAACAAUCCACGAUUGGGAAAGCUAGCAGCUAGCUGUUGGAGUUGUGUUGUCAUUGGAACAGGAAUGGGAAACCAGUGACCCUUCUUAUAUUGCAGCCUGCCAUCAUGCCCAGGGAUGAUGGCAGUUGUAGUCCAACAUGGUCUGGAUGUUUCCUUUCAGGUUUCAUUUCCUGGAAUAGACCAAAGAUCUUGCAACCUAAAGGCCAUCCAGGGUUGUUUUUUAAAAAUAAAUAAAUUAUGUUAUAAUCACACGGCCCUGAGGACUGCCACAAAAUGUGAUGGUUCUGUUGUAUAAAUAAUGGGCCACCAGAAAAAGAAUCAGAUUUAAUGUCGAUGAUGAUGAAGAUGAAGUGAGCAUUGAAUUCAAAUCUUUUGAAUCUCACCCUGGUGCCAAAGUCAUCAAAAAGUAUCCUCCUCUUCUUCUCAUUUGAUCACCAGUUUCUUGCACAGCAAUAUAGAGAUCCAGACACACCAGUGAAACAGAAAACCCUGAACACUACUCAGCCUGAUGGUUAUUGAAACUUCCAGGUGGGCAUAUUCCAUUGAUUUUAAUAGGUUUGGGAACAGUCCAUCAAGACAGAAAACUGUGUUUUGCUGCCCACCUGCCUAUCUUUCAUAGAAGAAGUGGAGGUUGAAAAAUACAGCAGAAUACUGCUUACAAAGAGAAAAAUAAUUACUGCUCUGUGUUAAUCAUGCCUAAGCAUACUGUGCUUCAAUUGCCUAGUAUUAUUCUUGCUCGAGUGUCUUUUAUCUUCCUUAGCCCACUUGGGUACACUGUAACCCAAGUAUGCUUAAUAUACAAUAGAAAUAAUUACUCUUGGAGUGAUUUGAAGAACCUGGCAGCACCCCACAAAUUGAGAUAUCCAAUCAAUAUUGUGUUCUGCUAAACAAUUAUACCUGACGAUGAUGAAGCAGAUGGAAGCAGCCAAAAGCACAUCAUUCAACUGGAACCACUGAUUGCUGUUGGUGGGCCUCUGGACAAGGUCUUGCAAAUAAAUGCCGAAUUUGUAAUUCUGUUGGUGGCUCUUGUUUCCAGGUGUGUGUCCUCCAUGAAGAGAUUUCAAUAAAAGGAAUAGCACCU